rnacentral:other from 14 species
ACGGUUAUAAAUCAACAUAUUGAUUUAUAAGCAUGGAAAUCCCCUGAGUGAAACAACGAAUUGCUGUGUGUAGUCUUUGCCCAUCUCCCACGAUGGGCUUUUUUUAAC